rnacentral:lncRNA from 1 species
UCCGAUGAACUAGCAAGUCCAGUAACUAGUGUGAAGAAUGACUCUAUGGCUGAUGAUAACAUCGAUGAACUAGUAAGUCCAGUGACUAGCGUGAAGAAUGACUCUAUGGCUGAGGAUAACAUCGAUGAACUAGUGAGUCCAGUAACUAGCGUGAAGAAUGACUCUGCUGGAAGUAAGCUAGAUAAAAUCAGCACAAUAAAACCGAGAUCUAUGAGUAUUGGAAACAAGGUUCUUCCCUGCUAUCGCAGCUCCUCCUCUACUUCAUCUUACAAUGCAGGCAAUACAAGAAGGCAACUCACUAGGAAGUUGAAUGUUCCUGAUAGCGGACAAGAUGUUAUUCCUCAUUAUCUGAGAGCUUCCACUGGUUCUUGCCAUGACUUCUGUAAAUAUGGCAGGAAACAUUCCUCUGAAGCAAAGCUAUGGCAUCCUCUAACAAAAAGAAAGAACAAACUUCGCAGAGUCCUGCACGGACCUUGGUGGGAGAGGCAAAGAAGAGGACUUUGGUCAAGCAAAAGCUUUCCACUCCUCCUGGAAGUGUGCUGGGAGAGAAAAAGAAAGUGACAGGAGUUGAGCAAAAGCCUUCCACUUCUCCAGGGAGUAUGUUGGAAGAGGCGAAGAAGAGGACCGUGGUCAUGGAAAAGACUUCCACUACUUCAGGGAGUAACCAGAGUGAUGCAAAGAAGGGGAUUUUGGUCAAGAAAAAGCUUUCCACUCCUCCUGUGAAUAUGCUGAAAGAGGGAAAAAAGGUAAAUGAGGUCUAUCAAAAGCCUUCAGCACCUCAGGAGAGUGUACUCAAAGAUAAAAAGGAGGUCACUAUGGUUGAGAAAAAAACUUUUUCUCCUCCAGGUUGCAUGGAGGGAGGGAUAGAUGAGGUGACUAUGGUUGAGCAGAAGUCUUCAGCUUCUCUGGUGAGUAUGCUAGGAGAGGGAGAAAAUGUGACUAUGGUUGAGUAAAAGCUUUCUACUCCCCCAGGGAGUAUGCUGGUAGAGGGAAAGAAAGAGGUCGUGGUCAAUCAAAAGUCAUCUGCUCCUCCAGGGAGUAUGCUAGGACAGGGAAAGAAGUUGAAUGUGGUCGAUCGAAGGCCUUCUCCUAAGGUUCACUCUCUUGAACCCUCUGAAAUAAAAAAGAAAAAGAUACUGCUGACACCAAAGAGUGUUCACUCUCUGAAAUUGGAUUCCUCCAGUGACAAGAUGCCAAAGACAGAAAAGAAAAUCAAAUCUUCAUCUAAGAUCUUAGGAGGUGUAUAUGCAGGAGGCAAGAAAAACAGUGUUGGUAAUUAUAGAAAACAAAUAAUUGCGCCUAAAGUAUCUACAGAAAAAUCUUUGAAGAUGCCAACUCUUUUAUCUCCUCCAAAAUCUUCCUCUGUUAAACCUUUGAUCUUGAGGGUGAGAAGCAAUAAAAUCUUAAAACUGCUAGCUCCUCUAAAGGACUAGAACAAGAUGCGGAGAGAUGGGAUAAACAAACUGAACCCUGAAAUAGUUCCUGAGAAAACUUUACGUACUCCCAAAGUGAAAGCAUCACCAAAGUCUCCAUCCCAUUUACAAUCACAUCCGUUGUCUAAUGAAGAAGAUAAAAAGGAAGUUGUUAAGCCUGCAGACAGUGCAUUAGGUAAAUACACCUCUGGCAGCAAAAAGCUGUUGCACAUAGCAGAAGCAAAAACUGUUGGGAAAAAUCAGAAAAAGACAUUGAGAAAAGGUAAGAUAGGAUUUUCUAAUGAUAAUAAUUCUUCGGCAGGGAAACUGAAGUUUAGGAGGGGAAAGAUAGUUGAUCUCCAGUAAGAAACCAGCAGCCCUAGGAGGCUGACAUUUAGAUGGGGACGACAUGUGGGUGAAAGCCAGGAUAGCAAUACAAGAAAGAGAAUCUUUAAAAAUAAAGGAGUUGAUGGUGACAAAAGUAAUACCAUCACUAUCUCUGGAAAAAUUGUUUUGAGGCGUCAGGAUGUGCAAGAAAAGAAAGAUGUGCAGGGUUUGUUGAAUAAUGUGAUUGAAGAGAUGACGAGUAAGCUUGUUGAAACCGGGAAGAGCAAGGUUAAAGCUUUGGUGGGAGCUUUUGAGACAGUGAUUUCCCUCCACAAUAAACCUUCUGCUGUCAUAGUUUCUUGAUUAACUAAUAGAAUUUUAUAACAAAUAGGAGCAAUUGCAAAUAUAGUGGUUGAUAUAGAUUUUCGGACCUGGUUUACAUAUGUUUGUCCUGUUUCUCAUUCUGACUCAUCUUCGUAACGAUUUCUUGAUGCUUUCCGGUUCUGUUCUUAUGAUUGAAUAAAUUUAAUUUCUUCUGGAUGCAUUUACUUUGAAUUGGGAGAUAAAGUUACGCAAGACUACAAUUUCUUUUUCACUUAUGGAGGUUGUGAUAGUGACGUUAAAUCAGUGGGUGUUUGGAUGUAGACAUUCUAAUGUUAGGCUGGUUGAUCAGUGGACAUAUAUUGUUGCUGGACUUAUUUACGAGGGAUUUGUUCAUACUUUCUGUUGAAUAAGCGCAUUGAAGAAGGCACAUCAUGUGGAAAUACCAUCCAAAAAAGAGUUUUGGCUAUGGUACUGGUUUGACAUUGUGCUUGUAUACUAUUUUCUUUAGUUGUUCUGUAAAGGGAUCUGUCUCUUGACUGUAAAACUUAUUGCUUUUUUCUCUGUCAUACAAUACAAUAAGAUAUAAGUAACAAUCAAAUGUAAAUAUUGUAACCACCUAAACAAGUAACAAUAUUUAUGUGCAUCUUUUAUUCAGGUAACUCAAAACAGCUUAUAAUAAGUCCCUUUGUUGGAAUAUUGUACGUUUUAGCUUAAAGAAGCCACUGCAGCUUGUUAGACUUAGAUACAUGUACCUUCAUGGCUCCACCUAUCAACCAUAACAUCCAGCUAAAGUUGAGUCACUCCAUGUACUUGUGUUAAAAGUUAUUUUUUGAGUCUCCUUACUCCAAUUUGUCAUUGAAAGCUCACACAUUUUAUCAUGCAACAAAUUUCUGCUCAACUAAAUCUGAGACUCUUAUCGAAGAUGGCUAGAAGUACUAAUGAAAAUGCUCAUAAAAGUUUUAGUUCACAUAAACUUAGAAAUAGUGUCAUUGGCCAUACAAGUAUUCGAGGUAAGUUCUCAUAUCACAAUAUAAUAAAAUAUCUAGUUGGAAGAAGAUGGUUAGAAGUUCUACAUUCGAGAGUAUGAUUUAAUCAAAAGUGUUAAGGGUUACAUUUGUUUAACUUUUAAGGUGGGGGGACAAAUAAGUUAUGAGAUCAAAUUUCCUUAACUCUGUUGUACUAUGAAAAGUUCAUCAAAAAAUGGAGUAGAAACGAAGCCAACAAUCAGAUCAUGCAAAAGUUCAUAGAAGUAAGGGUCAAGCAAAGUGCUAUACACAAGCCACACGAAAUCCUCAACUAAUAAACGAAACUUCAACAAACGGAGGCAGCAUGCAGAAAGUUUCACUAACAACAUUAUAACAUCAGAAAACUAAUUAAAACAUUAAAAUCCUACAAAUCACUCUUGAAUCACUUCAGUUAAAAUUCUACUAAGACUGAUUUGCUGAGAAGCAAAAGAGCAAUUUUCCUUCAGUUGUCAAUGUAGCAGUGACGCAACUUCAGAAUCUUCAUGGAGAAAUUGACAUGGCUUCUAAUUCUGCUCGAGCGNNNNNNNNNNNNNNNNNNNNNNNNNNNNNNNNNNNNNNNNNNNNNNNNNNNNNNNNNNNNNNNNNNNNNNNNNNNNNNNNNNNNNNNNNNNNNNNNNNNNNNNNNNNNNNNNNNNNNNNNNNNNNNNNNNNNNNNNNNNNNNAAGGUCAUUUUGGUCUUUUAGCCUUGUCUAAAUGACACUCCAUUGCCACCCACCUCAUUAAGGGCAUUGGAGUCAUUUUAUCUUUAUUUUGUAAUAUACUAUAUAUAGUCUAUUUUAGGUCAUUUCUCUUUAGUUAAUGAAUGAUGAACAUUUGAAAGACUUAUUCCCUCUUUGGAGAGUGCAACACCUUAGUAUAGUUCUUAGUUAGGGCUUGGAAAAGUCAUCCUAUAGUAUAGGGCUUGGAAAAACCAAUAUUGUUCUUUGCUUGGAAACGGUGGAUCUUGUGGUAAGUGAUUCCCUUGGCGGUCACUGUAAGAGUGGUGUUGUUGUUACAUUAAUUAGAGGUUUAGUGUUUGAAUCACACUUUGUUCCUAAGUCUUGUAACAAAUCUAUAUCUCACUAUCUAUCCUUUUAGUUUUGUAAUCUUGUUAUUGUUUGUAGUGGACUGUUUUUGUGUCUUGUUGAAUCCGAAAUUUUGUGUUCUUGUUGUCAUCUUGUUCUUCACGAUUUGUGUCUGUUUUGGGUGUUAAAUGAACCUUUGUUUCUUGUAUUCUUGUUGUAUUUGUCGAAUCCGAGUGAGGUCUCCAUUUGGUCCACGAUUUGUGGUGAUUUGUGGACUGUUUUGGAGGGUGUAUUGGACUGUUUUGUGGCUGUUUCAUGUUCCUCUUUUUUGUCUUGUAUCAAAUCCAUCUUUGAUUUUGUUCUAACAAGAUCAAUUUUGGGCUUGAGACUUGAAAAACACACAAAAAAAAAACUGUAAACUAAAAUUUUCAGAAAAUAGCAAUCUGUCCACUUUGUGUUCUUGGCCGAAAAUUGUGUUCUUGUUGUGUCUUGGCUGAGAUUUUUACUUGCCUUAAAGUGUUUCUAGCCUUAGUAUUGUUCUUCACUAACACUUUGAGUCUAUAUCUUGAUUUGAGUCUUUGUUGUGGAUGUUGUUAUUGUGAACUUGGACUUGGCCGAUUGUUGUUGGUAUUGUUGUUGUGGAUUCAAGACUUGAACGUGUGAUGUAUUGUUGGUUCAAGUUUGAACGUGUAUUUUGGGGAUUGUUUUGGGGAUUUUAAGCUUGAAAAGGUGGUGUUGUUUGGAAGGUCCAACUUGCACGUUAGAACUUUGAGACUCAAAAUUUGUGUUCUUGAUGUUCUUAGUGUUCUUCACCAUCUCUAUAUUUUGUUGAAGAAAAAGUGGUUGUUGAUUCUAUAAGUUGAAGAAAGAGAGUGUGAAUUGAUUUUAGUCUUUCAAGACAUAAAUCCAAGAUUUAAGGUGUAAGACUUGUGGCUCAAAGACUUUUCCUUCACACUCAAAGACUUACAACCACUUCCAACAACCUUCCAUGUUUUGAGGAUCUUGUUUUAAGGAAAGUGUACAACAAAGUUCUCUUUUUGGAAUUGAAAGGGGAUUACAAGACUUAUAUUUCCCUCCUAAAACCAAAUCCACCAUUCCCAACUUACAAAUUGAUCAAGAAUUCCAAUUUUGGAAAAUAAAUUUGUUACGACCGCAACCAAUACGUGGCUGCCACAUCAUGUUUUACUGUUCACACGACAAAUUUUGGCUCAAAUUUUAGAUUCUUAGUUUCAUUUUACUGUCUCCUAGUUUCAUGACUUGAUUCUAGAAUUAAUUAACAACUAGUAAUCACCUGCUAAGUUGUAGAUUAAUUGUUGAAUCCAUUUCUUUCGUGUCUUUAUUGUUUGUGUAUUUUCUCGUUUCUAACUCGCCGUAACUUUUUUGUUUCAAGUUUGUAAGUAAAUUUUAUUUUGUGUCUUGAGUCGAUCCAACAAGAAUCUAUUCCGGUCGCCAAGUAGAAUUGACAUCUUAUUGACUACCGGAGUAUAAGCAACUUUCAAUAUUCGCCGCUUCAAUUGUAAGAAUCACAAAGGUUAGUAUAUACGAGUGUUGGUAAGGAAGCUUUACUACUAAUAUUAUUUGUUCAUUGUGUAGGUACAAAGGUGAUAUUAGGGGAACAUGUCUUCGAUAAUCGGGUAUUAUUAUGACUACGACAUGGGAGACUAUGAUUGUAGUAAAAGGUUUUAUGGCUACGAAGUUGAGGGAGAUUGUGGGGGCUAUGAAAAUAGCCAUGAUCAAAACUUGGGCAGAUUUGAGGGUCUCGGGUUUAGGGGAGAAAAUGACGGAAAUGAUGGCCUAGUACUUAUGGUGAAUUUGGAGAUGAUGUAGGACCUCGUGAUGGUUCUUACGAUGAAGUUGGGACAUGUGAGGAGUCUUAUACUUCCCACUCUGAACCUACAUUUGGUGUUGGUAUAACCCUUUCAUUCGCAAAGCUUAUGAGAGCUAUGAUGAGAGUACGCAUGUGGAGUGUGAAAGAUCAUAUUCUUCACCUUGUACUACUUUUUAUCAAGGUCGACAUGGUGUGAUUGGUUAUACUAGCUAUAGUAGAGGUUGUCCCAUGAGAAAAAGAGCGCAAGCAUCUCCAAAACCGAUGGGUACUCGUGUACCUUACAAUGUUGAUCCAAGGAGGAGUGUACACUCCGAAAAGGUGACUAUUUGUGGGAUACCGGGCUGCCUUAUGGUGUUGAAUGAUAGGUACUAUGAAAACUACAUUCUUCUGUCCAUGGUUGACUACUUAGGGUUAUUUCGAGAGUCUUUACUUGUUCCAUACUACUUAGGCGAGUUCAAGGUUACCGAGAGGGUAAAAGUUGUCUUCUCCCAAUUUGAUUACCAUAAGGAGGUGUGGUGCAAUGUUUUUUCCUUAACCUACGGUCAUAUGAGCUUGGGUGCCGAUUGGUUUGCACGACAUCAAAUUCCUAACGUGCAAUAUUGGCCUAAUAUUGUAAGAGACCAAUGGGGAAAUCUCCUCAUAAUGUACUUGCUACCCAAACCACAAAGAGAAAUGCUUACCUACUCCAAUCUAAUUUAUGAUGAGAGACAAAAGAUUGAGAGGAGUAAGGGAGUGCAAGGUGGUAAUUGGAGAGUGGAAAAAGGAAAGGAUAUGUAGAGCGAAAUGAGGGGAUUGCCACCAAACCGUACUAACAUUGACUGUCCUUCUAUUUCUAAGGACAUUUGUGUAGGUACCAACAUGGCAAGCGAAGGCGAACAAUGCCAAAAGGAAGUUGUUGCUCAAGCUUGUGGAGGACCUUCACCUCACGGAAAGGAAGAGUCUACUCAAGAUCUUAAAGGUAAAAUAGCUAACUCUUACACUUUAGUGUAUGUGAAUGACAAUUGUGUGGCUGGUAAGCCAUUGAGUGUGAGUAGUAGCUUACUUAUUUAUGAGUCUAAUUAUUCCUUGUAUCUUGUUGAUGAUGUACAUAUUGUAAGUUUGGAUACACUAGUUGAUCCUAUUGAUGACGAAAUUGACUCUUCUUGUAGGAUUAAUUUAUGUCCAUCUAGUGUUGAAGCUUAUAUGUUUAACGGAAGUAAAUCGUCUUGUGUAAUUGGUGUUGAUCAACUUGUUUGUGAAAAUUGUCCCCCACUUGAGUAUGUGUGUGAUGUGCUUAAUAGGACUCAAGUGAGUGAAGUAUUUGAAAAUGUUGGUCAACAAAGUGGGAGUGAACCCGAGAUCUCUUCUUGGGAUAAUCUUGUGUUUGGAACAUCAUUGAAACUUGUUAUUGAUCAUUUAGAGUGUGAGGAACUUGCUUAUUCCAAAUCUGUCCGUGAGGUAGAUCACAUUCUCCUUAGGUGUAAUGUCUUGUUUGAAGAUGAUUUAAACACUUCUAAUAAAGCUAGUGGUGAAAAUGAUGGUAUAGCUUGCCUUGGAAGCAAUAGCCUAUAUGCUAACCCACUUUGGUGUGACAACAUUCCUCCUAAAGAUGGAAAUCUCUUCUUGGAAGAUGAGAGUACUCUUAGGGGUAAGGAAUGUGUAGUUGCGGAAGCUACUUCUUCUUUUACUUUGUAUGACUUUAUUUUUUAGAGUAAUCAUGGUUAUUAUUGGGAAACUAGUAGGGAGUACACAUAUGAGGGUACCUUGGUAGAAGUCGAUUUGAGUGAUACCUUUCUUUACUCUCUAUUUGCUUUGGAUGAUAUGUAUGCUAUUAUAGAGAGUAUGUCGUUUAGUUUGGGAGUAGACCACAGAAAAGCGGAUUGCUUUCUAGACCCGUGUCUAUGGCCACUUUUCCCAUUUGACCCCGGUGCCAAAUGUAGAAAUGGUGAUGUUGGUGCACCCAACUUGUUGUUUGGUCUACAUGACAAGCAAAGUAUCACUCUUGGUGUAUCCCAUAACCAAAUCCUUUGUACAUCUUUCAUUGAGUUUUUAAUACUCACUUCAAAGGAUUCUUGAUUAUACUUCAAGUAUGUACCCCCUUGGCGUGAUGAUGUUUAUUAUUGUGCCAACCCUAACCCUCAUGCUAUGAGGAUGUUGUGCUUGUUUGUCCUUUCUCUUGUUUUGCAAGGUACGGAUUCCAGGUUGAAUCCUUUUCAAGAAGGGGAGGAUGAUACAAGUGAAAUGACCGCCUUAUCUUUCGAUGAUAUUAUUCAAAGUCACUACGUGAAGAAUCAAGUUUUGGUCCCAUGGAGGGCACGGGAUCAUACUUGUAGGGGCUAUUUUAAGCAUGCCAUCAAACAAACCCGUGUGUGGAAGAUUACUUGGAGCCUUGAAGACUAGAGGACUCACGGGUUUGGACCACAUUUGAUGGUUCANNNNNNNNNNNNNNNNNNNNNNNNNNNNNNNNNNNNNNNNNNNNNNNNNNNNNNNNNNNNNNNNNNNNNNNNNNNNNNNNNNNNNNNNNNNNNNNNNNNNNNNNNNNNNNNNNNNNNNNNNNNNNNNNNNNNNNNNNNNNNNNNNNNNNNNNNNNNNNNNNNNNNNNNNNNNNNNNNNNNNNNNNNNNNNNNNNNNNNNNNNNNNNNNNNNNNNNNNUAUCUCACUAUCUAUCCUUUUAUUCUUGUAAUCUUGUUAUUGUUUGUAGUGGACUGUUUUUGUGUCUUAUUGAAUCCGAAAAUUUGUAUUCUUGUUGUCAUCUUGUUAUUCACGAUUUUUGGCUGUUUUGGGUGUUAAAUACACCUUUGUUUCUUAUAUUCUUGUUGUAUUUGUCGAAUCUGAGUGAGGUCUCCAUUUGGUCCACAAUUUGUUGUGAUUUGUGGACUAUUUUGGAGGGUGUAUUGGACUGUUCUGUGGCUGUUUCAUGUUCCUCUUAUUUGUCUUGUAUCAAGAAUAGAUUUGGCUAUUCAAAAAGGAUUGUUUAUGUUCAAAGAAGAUAGAAUAUACCAAGUUAAAUACACUCACAUGCUUGGAAGGAAUCCUCUCAUAUGUAGUGAAACUUCCAUAUGAAGGUGAACCCAUUGAGAACUCAGAUGCAGCCAAGGAUUCUCUCCUGUUACUCUUUCUAGGUUUCUUCUCAAUGCUCUGAGCCUCAUCAUCCUCUGAUUUGGGAUAUUUCUUUCUAUGAGAUGAACUUAUUUGAAAGAUGCUCAUCUCAGACGGACGUCUCGCUCCUGCGACAUCGACCUCUGUUGGCCAAUUUUGAGAGUAAUGCUUCUUUUUGACAACAUGGUGUGUGGCAAAUUUCUUACUUGAGACUGUUACUGGAUGCAAAGUCUUAUCACUUCUUCUCUUCACGUAGAGAACUGUACCAGCAAGCAGACUCAGUACAAGUGAGGAAAUUCCUAGGAUCUAAUAUGCACCAACAUUAUCUCCAUCAUGUCUUAUUGGAGACUCCAUCAUUUCCAAAGGUUGGGCUUCUUCAACAGCAAAAAUUUCUUUCACUAUGCUUUCAGGAUUGUCAAUCAUCGACUCAAGUGCAUUAUCAGCAAUGAAAGAUUGGGAUUCAGCCAACUCAACCUCAACAUUAGAAGUUGUGAGCCCUUGGUCCAAAUCACUUUCUGAACUAUCAGAUUCAUUCCCCUCAGCUGGGACAACAGAAACUUUUUCAGUCUCCACCAAAUCAUGCUUUCCUUGUUCUACAUCCUUUUCUAAGCUAUCAGCCCCAUUUACCUCGGCUAAUUGAAUUGCGGAAGCUUCUUCAAUCUCCAACACAUCCACUCCUUCAAUUUCAACUUCCCCACCAUCAUCUAAAUCAGCAUCCAUUUGAAAUUCUUCCUCAUCUGGAUCGGUUUCAGAUUCUUCAUCCUCUUCUAACUCAAUUGGAUCAAACUUUUUAUCCAAUUUCUCACUACCAGUACUGCCUUUCAAAUAUCCGUGAUAUAUAUUGCUACUCUCUUCUAGAGCAGUCAAGUUCAUGAAUUUAAUCGGAUGCACAUCAUCUAUUCUACCAAGGUCAUUAAUCAACUUUGAGAAAUAAGAAACCACUUCUUAUUUGCAGAAAAGAACGUAGCUUUACCGUCGGAUAAGGUGAUUGAAGUCCUUACAGGAUCAUUUCUUUUCACCAAGAUUUUCUUUUCACCAAGAUUUUCUUUUUUCGGGAUUGAGCAAUCUUGGAAGAAGCGUAAAUCGUCAGAUACAUGAAAUUCUUGGAACCCUUUGCCGGUGAUUUCAGUUUCGUCGCUUUGGAUUCAUUCUCCUUCUCAUCAAAACCCUAUGACAAAGAAGAACCCAACUCUCGUUUCCCAGAAUUAGACAUCAUUCUUGUCGAAUCUGCAAAAAAACAAGAAAACAACAAAGUAAAUCAAGAAAUCUUGCAACAAAUUUUUGACAUUUCAAAUCAAGAAAAUUGAGUAAAUCAACGGGAAAACGGAAAUUACCAGUAGGGCUAUUAGCUCAGGGUUGAAUCCUCUAUGGGUCACAAGAACCGAAGGCCGCGAAAAAGGGUUUCCGUUGAAGCUUCUUCUGGGUGUAGAAUUGUUGUUUUCGGAGGUUCUUGGAUGAGGUGGAAAUGAUCUUAUAGAGAGUGGAGAAGGAGACUUGUUAUUAGAAGAAACAGCCAUUGAUGAUAAUAUUGUAUACCAAGAAAGGUAAGCGAAUCUUUGAAUCGUCCGGGGAGACCAAACAAGCAAAUGGAAAUAAUGCAAAUUGAGAGAAAUGAAACUUUAGAUAUUACCAAAAAAAAGUUAUAUAUGGGGUAAAAAAUAUUUACUCAAUCAUAGCAAUUACUAAUAUAUGUAAUUGCAAUUAAUUAGAUAUCUAAAGUAAAUGACACUUCCUUUUGGUCAGUGCACUUUUAUUUAUCGGAUGUAGUAGCAAUAGGUAUUUUUUUUAUUUGUCUAAUUUAAAAAUCAAGAGAUAAUUUAUCAAUAAUUUCUAAUUUGAGUUUGUUAUAUUGACUAUAGUUAUUUUUCAAAGUAUAAAUGCUAUUAUAUUCAAGUAAUAAUAUAAUAAAAUGGUCAUUUUAUUUCUUGUUGUNNNNNNNNNNNNNNNNNNNNNNNNNNNNNNNNNNNNNNNNNNNNNNNNNNNNNNNNNNNNNNNNNNNNNNNNNNNNNNNNNNNNNNNNNNNNNNNNNNNNNNNNNNNNNNNNNNNNNNNNNNNNNNNNNNNNNNNNNNNNNNNNNNNNNNNNNNNNNNNNNNNNNNNNNNNNNNNNNNNNNNNNNNNNNNNNNNNNNNNNNNNNNNNNNNNNNNNNNNNNNNNNNNNNNNNNNNNNNNNNNNNNNNNNNNNNNNNNNNNNNNNNNNNNNNNNNNNNNNNNNNNNNAUAAGACUUCUCUCAAUAUCAAGUAGUAAUAUAUUUGCCUUCUCAUCAGAUCUAGUUUUUCUUCCUUUAUGUAUAAUCUUGUUUUUCAUGAUUUCAUGUUCUAAUUUAAUUCAAUUCUUCUGUGUUAGAUGUCUCUUUUUUUCAUAUUCUAUUCUAUUGACUUGUGCAUAAAAAUUAAGCUUUUGUGUCUCUUUUAUAAACUAAAAAAUCUCGAAAGUAAAUUUCACGAGGCUCGAAACUUAGUGGAUAAUAAGCAACAAAUGUCUCUAUCUUUUCUCACUUAAAUACAUAAUUUUUUAUAUGGUACUAUUGAAUAUUGCACUCUCAUCAAUCAUCACUAAAUAAAGGGAAAAGACAUCAUUUCCACCCCAAACUAUAUAAGAAAAGUCUAAGCCACACAUAAAUUAUAUAAGAGACCUAUUACACACCUUAAAUAUAUAAAAGUGAUAUUAUUACCUCCUCGUGACCCCCAUUCUAAGGUACGUGUGUUACACUUAUUUUAGGCGCAUCCAGCCUAUUAAAUAACAAAAGUAAACGGCUAAAAACAUUAAGGAAAAAGGCAUCAUUUCCACCCCAAACUAUAGUCGAAAAGUCAAAUCCACACCUAAACUAUAUAAGUGACUUAUUACGCACCUUAACUAUAAAAAAAGAUACUUUUUACUGACGUGGUGCGGAUGUGGCAGCGCUUGUAAAACACUACACCACAUGCAAGUGGUGGUAGCCUGACAGGGUGUAAAUAGUUUCACUUUUUUAUAGUUUAGGUGUGUAAUAGGUCACUAGUAUAGUUUAGGUAUGGCUUCGACUUUUCGAUAUAGUUUGGGGUGAAAACGAUGUAUUUUCUAUCAUGUGACUAUGAUUGUAAAUCAUAUUUAAGAAAAAUAAUCUAUUACAUUUUUUAAGGGAUAUUUUUUGCCCUUCUUGAAAUUCAAGAUCUAACAAUAAUAACUAUGAAUUCCAUCACUAAAGUGUAAGCCUGGAUGUACUUUUUUACUAAUAGACAUAGUUAUCAAAAAAAAAAAAAAUUAGUUAACAUCUAGAGUUAUCUAAAAAUCUUUUACCAAUUAUUCUAAAAGUUUAAAAAUUUAAAAUCUCUCACUAUCUUUUGAAAACCCUUUUCUACUUCUAAUAUACUUCUAUUGUAUUGGUACUUUUAACACUUUCAAAUUCUUUUAGAAAAUAAUGUCUUCAUUCUGUUCACUAUUUUUCUUUUAAAAAUAGAAAAACCUUUUCUACUUCUAAAAUAGUUCAUUGUAGUGACACUUUUAACAUAUUUUCAAAUCUAUAUAUACAUAUAUAAAGGAGACAUUGUAGGCUGCUGAUGUGGCAUGCCUCAAUGAAAAAGUAUUUAUCUUUUUUUGUUUUUUUUGAAUUUUUUUCACUAUUAUUUAAUUAAAUGGACAAUUAAACUAAUUAAUAAAGGACAUUUAUCUUAUAAUAUUUACUUACUAUUACCAUUACAACUUUUGAUAUUCUUUAUUUAUGAAGGAAAAUCAUAAAAGUAAGUAUUGAUGGUCAUUACUAUCAUUUCAGACUUUUGAUUUCUUUGUCAUAAAAACUUAUUAAUUUGAUCAUUGUAACAUAAAAANNNNNNNNNNNNNNNNNNNNNNNNNNNNNNNNNNNNNNNNNNNNNNNNNNNNNNNNNNNNNNNNNNNNNNNNNNNNNNNNNNNNNNNNNNNNNNNNNNNNNNNNNNNNNNNNNNNNNNNNNNNNNNNNNNNNNNNNNNNNNNNNNNNNNNNNNNNNNNNNNNNNNNNNNNNNNNNNUUUCUUUUUCUCUUUCUUUACUUUUUAAAAUUUUUUUGUUUUCUUUUUUCUUUUGUAAUUUUUUCUCCUUUUUUCUAUUUUUUUCUUCAUUUUUUAUUUUCCUUUUUUGUUUUCUUUUUCUUCUUUCUUUUUUCAAUUUUUUUUUGUUGUCGUUUUUUCAUUUUGUCUUUUUUUCUUUUCUUUUUCUUCUUUUCCUUUUUAUUUUUCCAUCUCAAAAUAAUUGACAUGUACAGAUUUUGCAUAACUUUUAAUGGAUUAUUAAGUAGAAGUGUGAUUUGAUUAAUAUAUAUUUUUGUUAAUUCUUUAACCCUUAUCCAUAAAGAAAUUCAAAAACUGUAAAUAGAAGAUGAAGUAAAAAUAGUAGGUGGCAAUUUAAAGAGGUUAUCGAGAAGGUAAAGAUUGAUUUUGAAAAGAAUGAAAAAAUGAAUAAUGUUUAAAAUGGAAAAAAGAAAAAUGAAAUGAGAGAAGAUAGAAAACUAAGAAAGGAAACAAAAUAAAUUUUAUAAUAUCACUAAUUCUGAUUUCAUAAUCCUUUUCCAUUGUGAAUUAUGGCCAAGAUUUUUGGAGAUCAGAUCCCAAAAGAAGAUACAAAAGAAUGUAGUAAAAUGAGAAGAUAAGUAUACAUAUAUAUUAAGAUACAAAAAUGAGAAAAAAAAUUGGAAUAAUUACACAACUUAGUCAAUAUUGACUCCUAAUUACCUUAUUUAGCUUAAUUUCAAUUAAUUACAAUUCAUAAUCUUCUCUUGCCUAUUAAUUUUUUCAUAAUUACAAUUCAUAGUCUCUCCCAUUAAUUUUUUUUCUCUAUUUUCUAUUACUUUUUUUUUUCCAGUUUUUUCCUUCUUUUUUUCUUUUCCUUUUUUUCUCGUUUUAUCUUUCUUUUCUUAUUCCAAUUUUUUUGUUUUUUUUCUUUUGUAUUUUUUUCUUUUUAUUUUUCACCUUUUUUUUUCUCUCUAUUUUCUAUUACUCUUUUUUUUAUAUUUUUUCGUCAGUUUUUCUUUUCCUUUUUUUUUUUGUUUUCUCUUUCUUCUUUCUUUUUUCAAUUUUUUUCUUUUUUGUUGUCUUUUUAUCAUUUCUUUUUCCUUUUUUUUUCCUUCUUCUUUUUUCCCCCUUUUUUCUUUUUCUCUUUCUUUUCUUUUUUAAAUGUUUUCUUUUGUAUUGUUUUCUCCUUUCUUUUUUUUUCUCUCUACUAUCUAUUACUUUUUUUUUUCUUUUUUCAGUUUUUUUCUUCAUUUUUUCUUUUCCUUUUUUGUUUUCUCUUUCUUCUUUCUUUUUUCAAUUUUUGUUUGUUGUGUUUUUUGCAUUUUGUCUUUUUUUCUUUUCUUUUUCUUGUUAUUUUUUUCUUUAUUUUCUAUUACUCUUCUUCCUUUUUUUGUAUUUGUAUCAAAUGAUAUUUAUUUAUUUAGAAAUAUGAAUAAUAAUUUUGACAUACAAAUACAGAAUGGUACAUUUGUAUCAAAUGGUACAUUGCAUAUUUAUAUAUUUUAGAAUCAAGAAAAUAUAAUUACUGCAUUUACUUGUUUUUAUACAAAUACAAAUGAUAAAACGGCUAAAUACAAUAUGCAAUCAACAUACAAAUACAAAAUAAUUCUUUAAAAAUAAAAAGACAUCGACGAAAAUAGAAUACAAAUACAAAUACAAAUAUAAUCUAAAUAUACAAACACAAUAAAAUCAUAAUACAAAUAUAAUUCAAUAUAAUAUACAGUCAAAUAUAAAAUACAAAUAUAAAACAGUUCUUUAAAAUACAAGUGCGAAUUAUAUAAAAUACAAAUGAUGGUGCGAACUAACAAAUACAAAUACAAGUGCGAACUAUAAAAUAUAAAUAGAGAGAUGAAUUAUAACAUAUAAAUACAAGUGGUAACUAUAAAAUACAAAUACAAAUGUGAACUAUGACAUAUAGAUACAAAUGUGAACUAUCAUUUGAUAUAAAAUACAAAUACAAACAGUUCUUUAAAAUACAAGUACGAAUUAUAUAAAAUACAAAUGAUGGUGCGAACUAACAAAUACAAAUACAAGUGCGAACUAUAAAAUACAAAUGAUGGUGCGAACUAAUCCAACCCUCUAUGCUAUUUAGAGAGAAAAGCCUUUGCAUCUGAUGCACAAAGCUAUCUAGUUUCUUUUUCUUUACUGAAAAUCCAACCCUUGAAGAUCCUUUUUACAUCACCAGACCAGUUCAGUACAAAAGCACCAAAAACAAAAAAGAAAGAGUACCACCAGAUAAACAUCAAUUUCCCCUUGCCUAAACCUCCAUUAUAUUUCAAUUGUGACAAAGUAUAGUGUUUAAUGUAAAUAGAAUCAUAUGUGAAAAAAAAAAAGAUUUGUUCUGGAUUUUGGGAAGGUAAUAGAAAUAUGUUACAAAUUAUGAAAAAGAAUGUAAACAAAUGACACUGGAAAAUACUUUAUCGAGUAAUGGGUUCAAGAAAGAGAUAAAGGUAUCAAAUAAUUUACAACAUACUCUACAAAUACUAAAUGCCAAUGAAAGCAAUUUAGGAGAUUUUGGAAUGGAGGAAGUAAUUAACAUGUGCAAACUUGGGACUAAAUCGACCAAUGAAAAGAAAGUAGGCCAACUUGUGGGAUGAAGAGAGUAAGUAACAUAUGCUAAACUUGGGACCCAGUCCAGGCAUGCAUCCCAAAAUCAGUACACCAAGAGAGAUACCUACAACCUAUUCAAGAAAAAGGGAUAAACCAUCUGAGAGAUUGAUAGCAUCCACAAACUCUGGCACGUGAACUUGUUAUCUGAAAGUUGUGCAGAUAAGGGUAGAGAUCACCUGGGUAAAAAUCUCUUACUUUAAACAUGUUCAUUGUUUACUUUCGGAUAAUUAAAAUUCAUUGUAUGUUUAUUUGUAAUAUUUUACUGUGUCAGGAGAAGUGAUUCUGGGAUUGCUUACAUGGGGAGGAAUUGAUUUUUCGAGGAAAAUACUGUUAAGUAAAAAGGAGGAGGAAACUUCAACAAAUGUACGUGUAAACUCUAGUUUUGUUGUUGUUUUAUGAGAACAAAUUUGUAUAAGAUUAGAAAAGAAUCAUAUCGUAAUCAAGUGAAUAUGAUGAAUUAACCGUAUGUUUUUAAUUCAGGAGUCAAAGUAUGUUAUUUAUGCACAAUUAUAUCUUUUUCUAGAUAACUUGGGUUCAAUAACAAAUACUUAUUCUAGUAGUACUAUUUUUAAAUCUGGAUUUUCUUUUUUGAUUUAUGUAAAAUUUCUUCUGAAGUAUUUUUGCUUGCGCGUGUAAUUAAUGGAAUUAGGAUCUUGAGGCAAAGGUGGAUUAUGUGAGUCAGCUAUCAGAUGUUGAUAAGGCAGAGGUGGAUUAUAUGAGUCAGCUACUAGAUGACGUUUUGUCUUUAAUUCUGUCACGUAUGACAAUUAAAGACGCUGUUAAGACCAGCAUUUUGUCUACAAGGUGGAGAUAUCUGGUUGCUUCUAUGCUUACAUUACAGUUCAGCCUUGACAUGUUUGGCGUUAACUAUUUNNNNNNNNNNNNNNNNNNNNNNNNNNNNNNNNNNNNNNAGUAAAUCAGUUUUUGCAACUUUAUUUGGGUCGUAAAGUGGUUGAACUUGAAAUGCACACUUUUAUUCACAGAAAGUUUUCUAGUGAAUUUGGCCAAUUGAUGCAUUCUGUUUCAAAAUUAGGUGUUGAAAGAUUACAUCUCAACUUUAGCUGUGGCAAAAUUUCUACCUCAAAAUACAUUAACCUUCACCGCAACACAUUUUUUGAAUUUUCCCUUGAGCUUCACUCUCAAGCAUCCUCCUUGAAAUCUUUGUUUUUGAGUUUUUGCAUUGUACAACCAAGUGUCACACUCCGUCUCAACUCCCUCAAGACCCUUUUCUUGAUGGGCGUUCUAUUAGAAAUGAGACAACUUGAGGGUAUUUCUCCUCGUGUUUGAACCUUAAUCAGUUAAUCAUAAAAUAUUGCAAUCCUCCGCAUAAGCUAUGCAUCUCCGGUAUAGUAACAUCUGUUCUUUUUGCUGAUUAUGGAGGAUUGGAGGAGAUUGAUCUUCAAGCUACAAAACUGCAUGAGUUUGAGUGUUUUUUUAAAUAAUAGAGUAAGAUUUACAUUUCUUCCGUUCUUGUGUUGGAAUAUGUAAAAAUUAGUCUUCGCGGAGAUGCUUUAAUGCCAUACAUAUUUGGUGAAUUUGCAGCGAAUUUACCUACUCAGGUUAAAUCUUUAAUAGUCACCGCUUGGAAUACUCAGGUAUUUGAUGAUUUCUUGGCUUGUCAAAUUCCUUUGGUAUUUGUCUUUUGAACACCCUAAUCACUUGAAGUAUUCCUUUUUGUUAGGUAAUACACUUUCCAAUAGAGAUGCAGAUAUUUAGAAACCCUAGGAUGUUAGUCUUUCUAUUUGAAAGCACGUACAGCUUUGACAUAGCCAAAGUUUCUCCUGUCUUAGACGAUUGUCCUGUUCUUCAAUCUCUACAAAUAUUGGUGAGUUAUCUAUAUUUAUCUUCUUCUUCUUUUUUUUGAAUAUUCUUUGCUUGAUCUUAGAUAUUGAUGACUUGAACAUUUAUUGAAUCUAAAAGUGCAUAUUUCCCUCCCCAAGCAUGCAUGAUAUUCUAGUCAUUCUCAACAUUCACUCAUUUCCAUGUUCUGUCAAUACAACUCGCACUAGUAAAGUUGUAUUAAUUGCCAAUUACCUUCAUCCAUGAGAUAUAACACCUUUCACUACUUAGUUGGUGUAGGAACCGAUCAAGAUGUUUAAUCCGACUAAUAAUUUGGUCUGCUAUAAGAGCAUUUUCUUUCCGGCAAGGGAGAUUAUAUAAGCAUUUCACUUUUCAGAAUUGGACAUCAUGAUUUGUUAAUAAUAUGAUUUAUGAAGAUUUGACAACUCAAUUAUUUAUAUGUUUAUUCCAAAAGAAAUAUAUCAAAUAUGGAGAUGUAGAUAUCUAAUGUGGAGAAUUUUUGGUCCACCUUAUUUUUUGUUCAUGGAAAUAUAAUGGAAUAAUUAGGUUUCAAAAACCUCUUGUUAUAUGUCUUUCUUGGUUUGAAGACGCACCUUUUAAUUUCUUAACUCCAGCUGUCUAAUUCAAAAAGCAUUAUAGAUACUGAUUACAGCAUGCUUAACUAGAUAAGUCAAUUAUUGUAUUCAAUUAGCAAUAUAUAUGUUAAUUUAUUCUCGUUGUGAUCUCAGCAACAUAAGACAUAUAGGCAAAAGACAAGAGGAAGUCCCAUAAGUGUGUAGUACAUCCUGUAUUUUACUGCUCACCUAAUGGAUAUUUUUCCUAAUGUUAACAUAUGUUCAUAGUGCCAGGGUUCUGGAAUGAUGGCUGAGGAUAACUCCAAUGAACUAGCAAGUCAAGUAACUAGUGUGAAGAAUGACUCUAUGGCUGAGGAUAACACCGAUGAACUAGUAAGUCCAGUAACUAGUGUGAAGAAUGACUCUAUGGAUGAGGAUAACAUCGAUGAACUAGUGAUUCCAGUAACUAGCAUGAAGAAUGACUCUGCUGGAAGUAAGCCAGAUAAAAUCAACACAAUAAAACCGAGAUCUAUGAGUAAUGGAAACAAGGUUCUUCCCUACUAUCGCAGCUCCUCCUCUACUUCAUCUUACAAUACAGGAAAUACAAGAAGGCAAUCCACUGGGAAGUUGAAUGCUCCUGAUAGCGGACAAGAUGUUAUUCCUCAUUAUCUAAGAGCUUCCACUGGUUCUUGCCAUGACUUCUGUAAAUAUGG